rnacentral:lncRNA from 1 species
GGGGCAGGAGUUGUAUCUUCUGCACGAAAGAAGGGCUUGAUUAACGAAUGGAGCCCAUGCUUGGACUUAGCCUCGCUAGGUGCCAAAGGGUUCGGGUUGUAUGUAUCUUCGCACGGAAAAGUGAUUGUUCUUCUUCCAUGGGUUGAACCAUUGGAUCAUAUUUUGUAUGCUUUUAAACAUUUGAUGCCAGCUUUGUGAUCUAUGCUGUGGAUGGAAUCUAAAGGUCAGAGCUCUUUGAAAAUUGUACG